GAGGCGCGAGUGAUUCAUGCACGAGGUGAGUGAGCCAGUCAGUCGCAGUCUCAUUGUGCAGUGGUUAGUGCUGGUUGUGUCCGCAAACCACGAAUGGGUGACAAAAAUACCUUCUCGAAGCAUAAAGUUACCUGUAUUUUUCCAACCAGCUGCAAAUCCUACAGGUAUUUUUGUCAUCAAUUUAAGAAUUGUAAUUAUUUUGUGUUGGUGGCUUUAUUAUUAUAAAAUGAAACUUUUUUUUAGAUGUAUACAAGACGAGUGUGCAUGGGAGAGUUGGAAGAAGUUGACCUUGGCGAAAGUACCUCAAUCAGACUGAGAACUUUUUUUUAGCAAAGGCCAGCUUAGGAGUACCCUCAUUAAGUUAAUAACAAUGUACCUACCUAUAUAGUUUAAGUUAAAAAAAUUUGGCUCUCAAAAGAAAUUUCAAUCGUUGUACUGUUGAUAGUUGGCUCUGUUGACUAAUGAGUUUGCCGUCCACUGGUCUAGGCUAAUCAUUUUUUUUUUUUUUUAAAGUGACAUUUACCUUUGUUAAAUGUUAGUGAACCUGAAUAAAGAAAAACAUUUUUGGAUGUUAUAAGCCCUGUGUUUCACAACCAGGGUCCAAUUCCGUAAAUAUUUUUCUCAUUAGUUCCUACCAGGAUAUUAUUUCUAAGAUUUAGGUCUCAAUCCAAGUCUUUUUACAAGUGAAAUGUAACAGAGAUCUAAGAAAUGAGUGUACUAAUUACAUUUUUCCUGAUGCAUUUAAAAUAGAGCAGUCUAAUUAUAAGCAACCCCUACACACAAAAAGUUCUCAAUCUGAUUGAGGUACGUUCGCCGAGGUAUACUUCUUCCAACUCUCCCAUCCAUACUCCUCUUGCCCCAGUUUUCCCCUUCUAACCAGGCCUGAUGCUGCUGCCAUGAAGGUAUUGUCAGUGCUCAUAGAGAAUCUGAGGGUCAGAGUGGAGGAAGGACCAGGGGCGUAGACCCCAGCCAUAGGGCCCAUCUGGUCGUACUGGCAGUUUCCUGUCCUCCUGUCCACUGCCAGAGCUCUUUUUAUUAUUUAUCCUUGACAAGGGCCAUGGAGCAGAGUAACAAGUGCAGGAUAGCAAGUCUCCUUUAACACAUAGCAAGGAGGAUAAGAACAUGAGUUUGGAAUCGGACACUUCAGACUUGGUAUUGGGUGUUGCCACUUCCUAGCUGUCUAACCUUGGGGCAGGUCAAGUCUAUUUUCUCUUUUGUGAAUGAGAAUAAUUGUACCUACCUCCCAGGGUCACUCAAGGAUUAACUUGACCUGUAGACAUGUAGUGUACAUGAUCCCAUGCCUAGGAUAUAGUAAGUUCUCAGUAGACGAUAGCUCUUACCACAUAUGCAGGCAACUAAAAGGUUCAUUCAUGAUCCCCCCCCUACAGCAUAAAUUAUUUCUAUGAGUGCUUGGAACCCCAAAUAUAUAAUUGAACACUCCCUAGAGAAGCUAACAUUUUGAGAGGGUUAGGACAGUAGUGAACUUUUAGCAGGGAAGUAUUAGGAAAACGGGCAGGUCACAGUGAGAAACUCAGGAGAUUUAGAACAUCAUAAGGUUCCCAGGAAAUGAGAGAAAGACUAAAAAGUAGGACUGGCUAUAUAUCCUUUCCCCAGAAAAGGUGGAGAAUUCUUUUUCCUCUUUCUCUUCCCUGUUGAACUAUAUAUGGGUUGUUGCUAGGACCCCAAACACAGGCCUGCAUCAUUGAUACCGUAUCUGCUCUCUGGCUGCGCAUUCAGUCACCUGCAGAAGUUAAAAAAAAAAAAAAAAAAAAAAAUACCCAUGCUUGGGCCUUGCCCUAGUCUCUCAAAUCCAGAUCUUUGAGUUGGUGAGAUCCAGCUGUAUAGGGCUAAGUAUACUUGUGAAGGCUAGCCUAGAAGCCUGCCCAUUCCAAGUUCUAAACAAGUGGGGACUUUUUAUAUGCAUGCACAUGUGCAUAUAUAGUUUUUUUUUGUUGUUUUUUUUUAAGUUGAUUUCAGAGAAGAAGGGAGAGGGAGAGAAACAUUAAUGAUGAGAGAGAAAAAUCAUUGAUUGGCUGCCUCCAGCAUGCCCCCUACUGGAAUUGAACCUGAGACCCUUCAGUUCUCAGGCCAUAUGCAGGUUCACCAAAGCUUGGUCCUUAAUUGAUUCAAUAGUUCCUCAAGGUGAGAAGAGUAGAAGAGAUGUUAUUGUCAAUGCUUUUAAGAUGGAGAAAUAAGCUUUAUUCACAAAUAAUUACAAAAUUUUCAAGACAUCAUAGGGGCAAAAAUUAGGAUAACAGUUCAGAGGAAGAACAAAGUUUUUCAUUACUGCCAUCAGGGAAGGCUUUUGGGAGGAAGUGCAAUGUGGACUUAAUAGUAAAGGAUUGGUAGGGCUUUGGACAAUGAGCAAGAGGGGAAAGGCAUUUCAGAAUGGUGGAAGCCCAGGGCAAUUAUAGGAACAACAGAUGGACCAACUGGGGAGAAUUGCAGCCCAUGCUAGGAACUUUGGCAAGUCAAUGCGGGUGUUGAAGAGGAGGAUGGCCUGGGUAGAGCUAUCUUUUAGGAAGCUGAAUGUGAUGGACGGUCCGCUGAGGAGAGAGGACUGGAAGCGGAUGUGUUUUCAUAGACACAUGUCUGCUGAAGAAAGGAGGCUGUGUGAAGGAGUGAGGGAACAGUACACAAUAGUUGAACAAUGAACAAUGGUGGUGGCAUGGCCCGGAGAGAAUGGGAAAUGGGAGAGGUAGCGGCUGGAUCAGGAGAAAGGAAACUCAUUCUUUUCCUCGACCACUGUUGUUCAGUGUCUACAUAUUACUCUAUAUAACCUACAAUAUCUAUGUUGGCCCAUUUCAAACCAUUGUUUGGGUUAUUCCUAGAAGAAAAACGCUGGAAAUUUUCUUUUUGAAAACUAUCUUUUUUUUUUUUCCUUUGAGAUUUCCCCCACUUACCCAGAAGUUAAGUACAGAAUACUGGAAAAAUUAAGAUAAGGUAUUUCUGUUGCAACCUAUUUAUAACUGCCGAUUCCUCCCGAACUAUUUCUAAAAACCUGGCAGUCGAAAGACUUCUCUGGAAAACCAUCUGCAGCUCUCACUUCCAUGGAUCUCUGUCUCCUUUGUCAGGCAGUCAUCUAAUGGCCCAGAUAAAAUGAGCUUGUUGGGAGAAUCCGAGUGCAUUUUCACUGGAGAACAGAGAAGUAUUUUGUUUAGAAAUAGGAAGGGUUUUGUCAUAAGUCAAUCCAUGUGGCUACAGAACUCUUCCAUCCAAAAAUUAAAGAAGGAAUGUGGGUGUGGAACAACUCUCUUGGAUUUGCCUGGAUUAGCCCUGGACUCAGAAUCUUGAGAAAGGAUAGUGAUUUAUGUUAUUUUUAGUUAAUAUAAAUAAGAAAAGUGAAAAGAAAUAUUAUGCCGUUAUGAUUUAGAAAUAAGGCUGAUUAGGCAAAAUCCUACAUGGGAGAAAUUGCAUGUGAUCAGUGAGAUUAGGGAUGAUACAUGGCUUUCCUUUAAGAAGUUUCCUCUACUUUAAAGAAACUGAAGAAUCUAUAUGGACAGAAAGAUGAUAAAAAGACAAUAGAACAAUAUUUAAAAUUUUUAUUUUAAGAAAGAUGCCUAAUCACAACCCUCAAACUACUGUUUUUAAUUUUGACAUUGCCUUAUUCCAUGUAUGUAUGUUUUUAUAUAGGUAUAAAUAAUAUCCAUAUAAUUAUGUAUUCUGUAAUGUGCACUUAAAAUGUAAUAAUCAUUUUCUUGUAUUUCUAUAUCAUGUUUAUAAUUGAAACUUAUUUAGUAUUAUAAAAUAUUAUAAUCUUUACAAAUCAUAAUUAUCAAGCAAUUCUCUAAUAUUGGAUUAUUAAAUUUUUUCUUUCUUUUUACUUCCAAUCGUCACCCGAGGAUACAUUUUUAUUGAUUUUAGAGAGAGAGGCAGGGAGAGAGAGAGAAAAAGAAACAUCGAUGUGAGAGAAGCAUCUAUCAGUUCCUCCCAUUCACACUCCGACCCGAGAUCAGACCACAACGUAGGUAUGUGCCCUGACUGGGAGUUGGACCCAUAACCUUUGGAGUAUGAGGCGAUACUCCAACUGAACCAUCCACCCGGCCAGGGCACAUUGUUUCUUGAUUUUCGGUACUAGAGAAACACUGCAUUGUGUAUCUUCUACCGAUGCCCUUUUGCUUUUAGUCAGUUAUUUCCCUAGAAUAAAUUCCUAGGAACAGAUUUAUUUAGCCAAAAGGUAUAAUAUCUUUAUGGUUCUUAUUGCAGUUCCUUUCAGAAAAGGACUACUUUCUGUAUCUCCUCAACACUCUAGUGAUAAUAAACCUAGAAACUAUACAACUUUUCUAUUUGACCACAAUUUUGAUUUUAGUUUUUAAUCUUAAAUUGACAAAAACUGUUACUCCCUUACAUUUAGCAUCUCAUGCAUACAUUUACUUCGGUCAUAUAAAUUAAAAAUAAAUUAAGUUCCUGAACUUAUAAUUACCUACAUAAGGUAUAUCCUUUAUUAUGUAAAAUAAACCCUACAUAUUAUCUUUUUUUUUCUUUACCAUGCCAGAAUGUUUAUAUCACUAGUUUUUUUAAACUGUAAAUCCCUAUAAAAAAAUCCUAAUUUUUCUUUUCUUCACAUAUGCUGGAUCAAUUCAAUCAUAUUUACAUACCUAAUUUGACUCCUAGUUUACUUUUAAAAAUUGCUAUGUGUGCAUACAUAUGUAUAUAUUUCUUUUGUUAGUUUUAAAAAGGAAAAAAAUCCACUUUUAUUUGAGCUGUUAUAUGUAGAUCUAGAAUAUUAAAAUGCAGUUUUCUGCAA